UACGUAGGGGGCAAGCGUUCCUCGGAAUUACUGGGCGUAAAGGGUGAGCAGGCGGCUGAGCAAGUCAAGGAUGAAAGCCCGAGGCUCAACUUCGGAAUUGUCCUUGAAACUGCUCAGCUUGAGGGUAGUUGAGGAGAGUGGAAUUCCCGGUGGAGCGGUGAAAUGCGUAGAUAUCGGGAGGAAUACCUGAGGCGACGGCGGCUCUCUAAGCUAUUCCUGACGCUGAAUCACGGAAGCUAGGGGAUCAAACGGG
rnacentral:rRNA from 1 species